AUGCCUGUAUCUGAUUUUUAAUCAGGAUGAUAUGACCUACUUUUAGUUGACCUAUUUGAUGUGUGACUUACUUGUGUGGAUUGAUGUCUGUGUCUGAGUCAUCAUCAGUAUGGUGUGAUCCAGGUUUGGUUGUCUUUGAAGUUUUGCUAAUUUCUACUUUAGGUAUACUAGUAUAUUUCUGUCUGCCUCUCUUCAUUUUUGGUAACCUCACAGUUUAACUGUUACAACAAGUCUAUGACUGCAUGCAUGAUUGUGAAGACAGAAGUAGCCUUAAGAAGC
rnacentral:lncRNA from 1 species